rnacentral:rRNA from 1 species
UGGGGAAUAUUGGACAAUGGGCGUAAGCCUGAUCCAGCCAUGCCGCGUGUGUGAAGAAGGUCUUCGGAUUGUAAAGCACUUUAAGUUGGGAGGAAGGGCAUUAACCUAAUACGUUAGUGUUUUGACGUUACCGACAGAAUAAGCACCGGCUAACUCUGUGCCAGCAGCCGCGGUAAUACAGAGGGUGCAAGCGUUAAUCGGAAUUACUGGGCGUAAAGCGCGCGUAGGUGGUCUGUUAAGUUGGAUGUGAAAUCCCCGGGCUCAACCUGGGAACUGCAUUCAAAACUGACUGACUAGAGUAUGGUAGAGGGUGGUGGAAUUUCCUGUGUAGCGGUGAAAUGCGUAGAUAUAGGAAGGAACACCAGUGGCGAAGGCGACCACCUGGACUAAUACUGACACUGAGGUGCGAAAGCGUGGGGAGCAAACA